AGGGUUCAUAAGUCAAUAUAUUUUGAGCUGUACAAUAGAGCAGUGUGUGAAGCCCGGUAUCAAAGUAGGAUCAUACAUCGGUACACAACCUGAAGUUAACAAAGACAAUUCAUUUUGUAUAUAAAUUAUGGUAAAGAGCUUCAUCCGUCCACGCGAGCGGACCGUCUUUUUUCGCAACCCGCGAGAUGAGAGCGAACAGCGCGGCUAGCGGAACGGCGGCGUAGGGAAUAAACCGGUGGUAAAAAUUGAGCGAUCCUAGGAAGCGCUGGAGCUCCUUUUUGGUCUCAGGACGCGGACAACGACGGACGUCGGCGACGGAUUGCGGAUUCGGACGUGAACCGCGUGAGUCGAUGUUAUGACCCAAAAACAUUAACUCGCGAGCGGCAAAAACACAUUUCGCGGGAUAAACGGCGAUCCCGAACUUUCGAAACGCGCGGACGUGAGCACGGUGCUCCUCUUCGGAGCUGACGCGAUGAGGACGUCGUCGACGUAGGCGAAAACGAAACUGAGGUCGCCCAAAAU